GAUGAACGCUGGCGGCGUGCCUAAUACAUGCAAGUCGAGCGAACAGACGAGGAGCUUGCUCCUUUGACGUUAGCGGCGGACGGGUGUGUAACACGUGGAUAACCUACCUAUAAGACUGGGAUAACUUCGGGAAACCGGAGCUAAUACCGGAUAAUAUAUUGAACCGCAUGGUUCAAUAGUGAAAGACGGCUUUGCUGUCUCUUAUAGAUGGAUCCGCGCCGCAUUAGCUAGUUGGUAAGGUAACGGCUUAUCAAGGCAACGAUGCGUAGCCGACCUGAGAGGGUGAUCGGCCACACUGGAACUGAGACACGGUCCAGACUCCUACGGGAGGCAGCAGUAGGGAAUCUUCCGCAAUGGGCGAAAGCCUGACGGAGCAACGCCGCGUGAGUGACGAAGGUCUUCGGAUCGUAAAACUCUGUUAUUAGGGAAGAACAAAUGUGUAAGUAACUAUGCACGUCUUGACGGUACCUAAUCAGAAAGCCACGGCUAACUACGUG
rnacentral:rRNA from 1 species